UACGGGGGGGGCAAGCGUUGUUCGGAAUUACUGGGCGUAAAGGGCGCGUAGGCGGCCCGCUAAGUCGAACGUGAAAUCCCCGAGCUCAACUCGGGAACUGCGUCCGAUACUGGUGGGCUUGAAUCCGGGAGAGGGAUGCGGAGUUCCAGGUGUAGCGGUGAAAUGCGUAGAUAUCUGGAGGAACACCGGUGGCGAAGGCGGCAUCCUGGACCGGCAUUGACGCUGAGGCGCGAAAGCUAGGGGAGCAAACGGG
rnacentral:rRNA from 1 species